GAAGCUAGGAGUAAAGUUAGGUGUAGCCUACAUGCUGAGAAACUGGUCAUGUAAUGUAAUCUGUACUGUUUUUGGCAUACAAUGUUGCUUAACUACAUUUCUUAGAGAAAAUGAGCUGUCUUUCCUAUGAGGCGUUCAGAUUUUAAUAACAACCAUUGGAACCAUUAGAAGAGCAGUGAAGACCAACCAACUUGAGCAACUGGACUAAAAGAGCAGGGAACACUUCAUAGAUUCUUUGGGAGAGUGGCUAGAAGGAAACCACUUAUGAGAUGAGCCAACAUAAGUCAUUCCUGGAGUUUGCUAGAAGCCAUGUGAUGACCUGAAAAGUUCUGGAGGAAAAUUGAAGUCUGAUGAGAUGAAAGGAAUGAAAAGAGCUGCCGGCAGCACUGCAGGCUGAACAAAUGCAGAUCAUUCCUCACCGCUGCUGUACCUCAGGAAUGUUUUGCCUUAUCUGUGGAAAACACUAAUCAUAAGAGAGCAUUAAAUAAAUGAAUGAAUACUAUUUGAAAAGCUGAAUAUGUAAUUAUUGGUAAUGUUUGUGGGGCUGUAGUCACAUUAAGGUUACAGAGGUUUGUUGCAUUAUUCAAACAGUCGGUCCUCUGUAUUGCCAUGAGCAAAUCUGUUGACUUCAUCCUGUCCACAAGCACUUAUUGUGCUGCUGAGUGCAGCAUUUAGCCCGUGAGACCCUGUGCUCUCUGUGUCUGGAUGUACAGUGGCCCCACUUAAAAUUGUAGAAAUUAUUUAUUCUACUAUGACUUUUACCUAGCUGGUUUCAAAGUGAUUUUAGUGUAUAUGUACAGAUGU